CCAGUCCAAAUAGAGAGGCGUAGCCAUUACUGACAGCCUACUACCAGAGAGAAAACCAGAAGAGGAAGGAAGAUCUACGGCUCACACUUCAACUGCUGGACCAAGUUUGCAGUCUUCCACAACACAUCUGCCUUUGGAGGAUGGUGUGAUUUCCACCGAUGCUGUCUGUCUGGAUAUUAAACAAGCCAUAAAAGAUCGGUGCAACAAGGCCACAGCAGCUAAGUACACCAACGACCUAAUGCAUGGUCUGUACACAACAGCGUUUAUGGCUGCUCACAGCGUGACUGGGCUUGGGGCAUCAAGCAGGGGGGAGACACGACCAUCCCUUCCUUCUGCUGAACUCACGAAGAUUGUUUGUGAAGUUAAAUCUUUCUUCAAAGAGAAGACAGAGGCGGAGAUCAAGGGCUACAUACGCCAGAAACUCUCCAAUUCGGCGAAGAUCCUCAAAAGGAAAACAUUUGAAAAAAUCAAUUUGUUCG